ACAUAAAUUGCCUCCAUCAUCACAAAGUCAUUUCUGUCUUUUCCCAGUUUUCUACAAUGGAAAAAGAGUGUCCUUUUAAGUCUAACAGGACCUGAGUUCUAAUCCUCCCUAGCUGUAUGUUCUCAGGUAAAUUACAUUUCUGGACCUUAAUGGAUCAAGAGCCCUUGCUCUGUGCUACCAUAGCUCUCUGCUUCUCUCUGUUGUACCAUUUACUUCAUUUUCUUGUCAUUAUCUAUUUAUGCAUCCAUUUCCUCCACCAGACCACAAGCUCAAGCACAGGUAUCACAUCUGAUUCUGCUCUAUAGUUAUGGUACCUAACAGAACCUGGCACAGAAUUAGAUGCUCAACAGAUGCUUGCUGAGAAUGAAUCCUUGAAAUGGAGAAGAGAAACUCAUCAGACUAUCAAGCUAAUAGUGGAGUCCAGCACAAAGACAUUAAGGAAGUGUACUCUUCUCUGUCCCUAUCAUGCUCUCAGCACACUGUAAAAACAGGCUCCAGAUACCCUUACUUCAUCCAUAGCUUCUAUCUUAAACCAUUCCACUUCCCAGCCUGUUUUAAUCAUCCCGAUUCCUGGCACCUGGGCUUGUCUUCUCUUUACUACCUGCAAUCACCUCUUGGACUUUUACUUGAAAUGUUCAGGGCUUUGGCUCUCUAUCUUGUUUUCCCCUCUGAUUAAACAAUUUCUACUUUCUUGGCAUAUUUCUCACCCUCCUAACCCUAGAUUCUCAGGUCAAAGACUACAAAAGUUCCUGCCCUCAAGGAAUUAGUCUGGCGAACAAAAGACAAGGAAACCAGCAAUUCCAGGACAAUGUUGUAAAAGGUCUGGUUGAAGUUUGUGCAGGGUACUGUGGGAGCAGAGAUAGAAUGAAGAGCACCUAAUCUUACAGAGAAGGGUAGCUGUCAGAAGGAAGUAUAGUUUGAUCUGGGUCUUAAGAAAUUGCUUAAGAAAUUCCCAGGCAGGGAAAAGGGAGGACAUGCAUAGCAGACUGAGACCAGCAUUGUAUAGGUGUGAAGACAGGAGAGAUCAAGUUCUGCGGGGGCUGCAGGCGGGUUGGUGUGGUGGGAAGGGCUUGGAAGCACAGUUGGGAAGUGGAGGAAAAUGAGCCAGUGUUUUAAAAUUCGGAGAUUUCACAUAAAAUCCUGGAUUUCCAGCUCUGUUGAAAAAUCAGAAGAUCUGGCCACACCAGGCUCUCAUUCUCACAUUAGCUGAGUAUUGUUUGUCCUUCUUAGAUGCCAGAGGUGUUUUAUAACUUGCAAGUCUCCACCACACCCUUUAUCAUCACACUUGCACUCUUGUUUUUCUUUAAGGGAAGAAAUAUUUCUUAGCACCCAUGUCUCUGUGAAAAGUGGGUAAAUGGAGGUUAGAUCACAAGGGCCAGGCAAUCAAAAAAACAAAACAAAAAACCGAGGAAUAGCAUGUUUCUUUGUGGACAUGAAAUGUGUAUCUGUUGGAGAACUGCAACUUUCUCUUAAACCCAGGUCCCUCACUCAUUUAUGUUACCUGCAGGGUUUGCUAUAUAAGGAGCGAUGACUUCAUGGGGCUGCCUUACUUUUCAUAAAACUUUGCAAUGUUCACAGGCCAUCAAGAAGGAAUGUGGGGCUUUCCUGGUGGCACAGUGGUUGAGAAUCUGCCUGCCAAUGCAGGGGACACGGGUUCGAGCCCUGGUCUGGGGAGAUCCCACGUGCCGCGGAGCAACUGGGCCCAUGAGCCACAGCUACUGAGCCUGCGCGUCUGGAGCCUGUGCUCCGCAACAAGAGAGACCGCAACAGUGAGAGGCCUGCGCACCACCAUGAAGAGUGGCCCCCGCUCACCGCAACUAGAGAAAGCCCUCACACAGAAAUGAAGACCCAACACAGCCAAAAAAAUACAUAAAUUUAAAAAAAAAAAAAAAAAAAAAAGAAUGUGCCAGGAGUGCUAGUCUUAAAGAAGGGUAGGAGACGUGUAUGUCUGGCCAGAGCCUGUCAAAGAGAAGCCAGCACUGACUUUCAGAGCCUCAAAUAGGUGAUGAAUCAAGUAGGAAGAAAUUGAGAGGGCUCAGAAAAGGGCUUGUCCAUGGCCCAGAGGCAGCUAAUGGCAGCAGGGGUUCUCUGCAGCUGGUGACAGCGUGGAGGAAAUGCUGUGCAACCCCUGCUUCCAGAUCCAGAGCCAGAAGACCAAGCUGCUCCCAGUAAUCAUGAAGAACUGGCCCAGCUUCUCAGUAAGAGGGUUACUGGAUCCUUCAGAAACCCCCCUAGUCCUCACAUCCUGGGACUGAUGGCCCUGCACUUCCAAGUACUAUCUAAGGCCUCCAGCUUUCCCAGAGCCUGGAACUCCUCCUCUGAGCUCCUCACAGCUGGCUGAGAGGCUGCCUUGAGCUCCUUUGAGGCCUCCUGUCUUCAGUGAUAAUUCUCUGCAGCUUGGCUCUGGCAGUCUUACCUCCUCUCCGUGUGUAACUGAUCCUGGUCCUCUGGCUCUGUCAGCGCCUCUGCUGAGUGCACCGUGAUGUGUGUGAGCCUUGAGCUGGGCGGGAACCCUCAGAGCGAAGUGAGAUUAUUCCAGGAAUCCUGAUGAGAGGUGAUGGUCAUUGGUGAUGGCAAUGAGAGAGAUAAGUGGAUGCAAAAUUAUAAUUAGGAUAUGAAUUAGCAUAACUUGGUAAUUGCCUGGUGCAAAGAGUGAGAGGGGGGAGAAGGAGGAGACUCACAGAUUUGGGCGUGUAAACUGGGAUUAGAGGAUGACGGUUUCUUGGUGAGCACUUGGAUGCCAAGGGUCCCCCUAAUCACCACAUAAGGCAAGAGUGACUAACUCCGCUUAGGAGGAUUGGAGCUAGUUCUCAAAGAAGGGGUAUUUGAGCUGGGUCUUAAAGAUAGUACAGAAGUUCCCAGUUCCACAAAAGAUGAGCUCUGUGGUGAGAGGGUAUGUUAAGGGAAGGAUUUUCUCAGGCAAGGGUGAUGGGAAAUAAUAGGAAGUACAAAGACACAAAAGCAUGUAAGCAUUAUUUUGGAGGGAAGAUAUUGAGUUGUCCUGCAGUGUGGGAGGCGAGAAAGAAAGAUGUUGGGGAAGAAAAUGGUGAAAAAUAAGCAGGAACGAGAGUCUGUGGCCAGAAUCCAAGAGCCUGUAAUGUAGUCCAAGUGGUCCUCUCUCUAGCUGGUGGCGGAAUAACAGGUACAAACCUUCUGGAGAAUCAACUUGGAAAUAAUACAUCAGAAGCUGUUCAAAUGUUUCUAACCUCUGUUCUAGUGAUCCUUUUCCUGGGGAUUGUUCUUAAGGAAUACUUUUUUUAAAGGAUGGAGUUAGCAAUAUACAUUAAGAUAUUUAUUACAUCAGUAUUGGAAACAGUAAAAAAUUGGAAAACAACCAACAUUUCCAUCAGAGGAGAAUACCUAAGUAAAAGAUGGCACAUUCAUCCAAUGAAUAAUAAAUGCACAGACUGGCGUGCUUGUCAGAAUUUAGGUGAACUCACCCAGGAGGCCUGCUGGGCUCAGGCGCGAGGAGAAGGUCCAAUGUGGGCAGGAGAAGAAGGGUGGAAGCAGAGUGGACCCAAGGCCAGUCCCAGCAAGGGCACAGGCAGGGCAGCCACCAUUAUGGGGCAUUUGCCUUUCGGUAUCUCAUUUAAUCCUCACAGCAAUAGCAAUCUUAUGAGGGUGGUAAUAAUACCAACCCGAUUGUACAGACAAAGACCUGAGGCUCAAAGGAAUGGAGCGAUCUGCCCAGGGCUAUCUAGCUUCGACGUAGAUUCUAACCCAAGUCUAUGUGAUGGAAGAGCAAUCAGUGUUUUCCUCUGCACCAUGAUGGCAAGUGUCAACAACCACGACGUUAUCUAUGGGGCAUCCCUUUUUACAUGGCCCUGGCAUCUUUCUUCAGUCUUGAGGUAACAGGGCCAAGACUGUGUGGACACCAGAGAUUGGCACUCAGGCCUUUGGCAGGCGCCUCACUUUUGCUGACUCUUGGCUUCCAUGUCUAUAAAAUGAGGAGGCUGAGCUAGAAGUUUAAGUCGGGUCACAUUCCCACGAGUGCCCAGCACAGAGCCUGGCCCACAGUUUCCAUCACCCUCCCUGUGGACAACUCUCAGCUCCAACACUAGAGGCCUCCAGGACUCCAGCUGACAUGAUGGAGUGUGUACCCUGCACGUUGCAGCCUCUUCCCAGGCUGGCUUUGGAAACCGAGCCUCCUCCAGACAGCAGGACUGCUCCACUCACGCAGAUCAAGUUGGGAGCAUCAUUAGUCAUGUCAGAUGACAUAGUUAACACUUGGGGCUGGCACAACCAGUUCAUCAAAAGCUCCUAUGUGUCUGGCUCCAUCACUGCAGCUGCGGAACUACUGUAUGUGGAGCAGGCAGCACAUCAGAGAAGCAGUGCCAGAGAGCUUCCAAACUGGUUUUGAUUAAUUGCAUGGACAUGUCUUUAAUUGGUGCCAGGGUAGCAGCCAGAGAACUUAUGGGAAAGCAGGAUGUUAUGCUUUCAUUCCCUGAAGUCUCAUAAAGCAAUGAAAGAUGAGGAACAGGAUCACUGCUCGUUGAAAAUUUAUUGACCGUGCAGACCCAGAAAACAAAAGUUAACUAUCUGAAUUGAAACCUAACCUCAUUUUCCCAACUCAUUGGAAGCCUUGCAUGUUCCCCUUUGUGCCCCUGGCUCCUGCUGAGAUGUACAACUGAGUGAAAGGUGUGAUUUCUAAGGAAUGAGUGCUAUAGCAUGGAGAUGGCACCCUCAGCUUUCCCAGAUGGGUGCAGAGGUAUCUGGGAAGGUCCCUCCCCUCAGAAACAUCUCUUCCUCCAGCACACCACCAUCCUAUGAACUGAUAUCAGUCAUUGAUCCGCUUUGGGUGAAGUAUUCAUUUACACAUUCAUUCUUUCUUUUCCAUCCUUAGAGAUUUGUGUUGAGUGUGUCCUAAAUACAUAGCACUGUUCUGGUGUCAUGGAGAAUACAGAAUGGAAUGGUGUCGAAUACAGAUCCUUCCCUUAGGGAAAAGGUUAUCUAGGAGAAAGGAGAGGAUGGAUACACAAAUGAACUAAUGCAUGAUGGGUGCAUCACAGAAAAUGAAGCAUUGAGAUUUGCCAUCAAGAGGACUUGGGUUCAAAUCUUAGCCCUGAUUCUUAUUUCUGAGUCACCACGGAAGUCACUCUGAUCCUCUGAGUUUUAACUACAGGAUAGGAUAAUAACACUGCACCUGGCUGCCAUGAGGCUUAUAAGAGGUAGCAGAGUUGAAAGAACACAGUGCAGGACCUAACCGAUCAGUAAAGGGUUGCUAAUUCUGAAUAAGCGGCACCAGGGAGGUUCUGAGAAAGUGCUAUGUGAGAGUUCAUGUAUUCAAGGAACAAAUGUUUACCAAUUACAGACUUGGUGCCAGGCUCUGUGAUGGGCAUUAGGGAUUUAGACAGGAAGCUCUGCCAUUGACAAGACUGAGAUCCACUAGGGAGUAGCAAUGCUAUAGUAUGGUAAGAAUGGCAAGUCGUUACAUGUGUGCUGACAGGAGUCUGCUCUGAGCCAGUGGGGAGGAAAGGAGGGAGUGGUCACUUUUACCCAGGGAAAAUAAAUAGGAUAGAUUUGCCUGAAGAGGCGAUGCUUGAUCUAAGUCCUAAAAAAUGAGAAGAUUUUUGUUUGUAGAUAAAGCACAAAAGGGUAUUCCAUGCGCAAUACCACAGUGUUCUUUUUGUUUCUAGAACAAGCAACGGUUAUCCCCUGAGAUUUUGGAAUUAGCUGCUUUCUUUGUAUGGAAAGUUCUUCCCCUAAAUUUCCCCAAAGGGGACUUCUUGACAUUUAUAACCUGGUAUUUUCUUAUUCAUUCCUUUGUUUAUUUUAUGACUCUCUGACUAGAAUGACAGGUCCAAGAGAAAACAAGAUCUAGGCUGUCUUUCCCUCCACUCUAUCACAAUGUCUAGAACACUGCCUAGCAUAGUGUAGGUGUUCAAUACAUGUUUGUUGCCUGAAUAAAUAAAUAAUAAACAACAGGAGGCACAGGAGGGCCUACUGCAAACAAAGAACCAUUAGCACACUGCCUGGUGCACAGCAGGCAUUGAAUUAUUUUCUCAUAAAAUUGAACAACAAGGAAUAACUAAAGCAUAGGCUGGAGGAAUUGAGGUGGGAAAUAAAAGAAGAGGUGGCCUCUGAGCUGCUCCCUGAAGGCCAAGAAGGAUGGCAAUGUGAUGGGGAUGUUGGGAGGGGAUCCGGAGGACUAAGUAAGAUAACUUUUAAAUCUCUUCCAACCUUGAGCUUCUAAGACUUUCUCCCAAACAAAUCAUCUCUUGCCAAUCUUCCGGGUCUCCUCACUCACACUCCUCCUUUCUACUCCACUCUGUCUGGAGGCUGUAAGGACAUCUGACACACCAUUUCCUGCCAGUGUAAAUCAUGGACUGAUACGUGAUGCUUGUUCUCAGUUUUUACCAUCCCCCAGGUGGAGAUGACCCUAUAACUCAGGGUGGAGGCCCCAAGCAAAGGCAGCCUUUCCACAGGAUGGCAAAUAAGGGAGAACUUGUUUACCCACCAGCACCUUCCUGGCCCUGCUCCCAGGUAAUUUUAUGUCCUCUGGUCCUGGAUCUGCUCCUUAGUUGGAUGCACCUCAGUUCACUUGCUGGAGCACUGAUGUGUGACUGUUUAACUGCCGCUGCUUCCUGUCCCAGGGAUCCUGGGCCUCAGGGAGCACAGGAAAGAGACAAGAAAGAGAGCUUUCUAUGAGGUAAGCUUUGACAGUCAUAAUAAAGGCCAAAAACUAACACUCAUAUAUAGUGCUUAACAAUUUACAAAGCCCUAGAGAACUCCUGUUCAUCCUUCAAGACCCUGCACAAAUGUUACCUCUUUUCACCCAACUUCAACUCCAGGUAGAGCUAAUCCUUCCCUCCAUUAUAGCCCUUAUUACCUUGUAAUGAAUUUAUUUGCAUAUGUGUCUCAUUUCCUUCAUCAGACCAUCAGCACC